rnacentral:rRNA from 1 species
UACGGGGGGGGGUAAGCGUUGUUCGGAAUUACUGGGCGUAAAGGGCUCGUAGGCGGCCAACUAAGUCAUACGUGAAAUCCCUCAGCUUAACUGGGGAACUGCGUGUGAUACUGGAUGGCUUGGAUUUGGGAGAGGGAUGCGGAAUUCCAGGUGUAGCGGUGAAAUGCGUAGAUAUCUGGAGGAACACCGGUGGCGAAGGCGGUCA